CAACUCUACUCUAGUUUAUUCUCAAGAUGUACACUAAAGAGAAAAGGUUUUGAAAGACACGCUCAAUCCAGACCAGAGUCCUAUUAUCCCAAGUUUAGCAGCAAACAUCAGAGAUACUCCCAUGGGAAAAGAAAAAAGGUUUUCCCAUAACCAAUGGCAGUCAAGAUAGCACCAAUCUUCCAUUUUCCUGUGCCUCUCAUGACUCCACCAAAGGUACCUGCAAGUGCAUCAAAUAGAUGAAGACGAGCAAAAACAGGCAUCACUUGGCUCACAAAGGGAAAUAAUAUCGUUGUCAAUGGUAAAUACAUAGGCAACCACACCCUUCAAAACAACAGUAAAACACUUGCUGCAAGUGUACACACACUGGCACACAGGAGAACAGUAAAGUGGGAACACCAAGCCUGCUCAUGAUUCCUUGUUCCCACAGCAUUACCCACUCAUACGCAGGCUGCCACACCAAAGCCAGGGGGCAACCAUGUAGACUACAAAGGCCAGUUCACAGAUGAUGAUGCCCUGAGCUUCCAGCUCUGUCACAUUAAUCAGUCCUGCAAGAAGGGUUCCAAUUAAAACAGUCUGUCACUCAAUAUAUACCAUGAGCAUACUGGGAUAGCCAGCUGGAUGUAGGAGCCCCACUCCUGGGAAAAGUCCCUAGUCCAACCUCCCCAAGUAUUGAUAUGAAUUUGUUUUUCCACCACAUGUAGAGGAAAAGAAGUGCAGAAAGGAAGAACUGGGAAGUGAUGUUGGCCCAGGCAGAUUCUAACCCUCUAAGUUCCACAGUCUACAAGCAAGAGUGCAUUAAGGCCCACAUAGACUGCAUUCUCUGUGAUUCCAGUGAUAACUUAAGGCAAGUUGAUGCCCUGACUUUUGUAAAUAUCUCCUCUGCAGCCAGAACAGGAAUGCUGCUGGAAGAGCAAGAAUGAAAAUCAUCACAUAAAUUUGGGCCAUCCUGGUGAUGUCAGGAUCCACUUAAGAGCAGGAAGAUGCUGUCAGUAUUGAGAAAGAUGGCCCAGCAAGGAAAACAGCACAGCAUCAAGAUAAGGAUUCCUCUUUGAAGAAAGCUUCCUGCUGACUCAAAAGGAUUUUUCUUCUUCUGAACUCCUAUUAUGGGAAUGGAUGAAAUCACUUACAGAGCCACAGAAGGAAACAAAGCAAAGCCAGGAUCAUGAGUUGGAUUAUCUGGAGGCCUAGGCCAAUGGGGAGUUAUUGCUUGCAGUCACUGAUCAAGCAAAUAAACUUUUCCUUCUUUCUUAUGAAAUUUAUUUAAGAAGCUGAAAUUACUUAAAUGAUAAUGAGUUGUGAGAAAAGAAUUGUAGUAGAUAUUUGUUCUCUAUCCAAAUUGCACUGAGUGGGGAGGUGUACCCAUACCCCAGCUUCGAGAAUUGACUGAUAACAGUUCACACCUGCACUUCUCCAGAGAAUUGUCCUUGUCUGACCUGAGCACCUUGUUUAGUAAUGUCUGGUAGGCUAUGCUCCACCUUCCCUGGGCAGAUCCACUGGUCUAAGACAAACAACCCAACCCUCUAAUUUCUGGGAAGAAUCACCUCCGUGAUUAAUCUAAGCUCCAGAUCUCCCAGAGAAAUCAUGCUGAGGCUACAUUUGUGAAACUACAUUUUUAUCUAGCUUCUUCCUUUGCCCUUUCCUGCUGUCCUCACUUCCUUAUGAAUUUUUUUCUGAAAGAUCUUGAUUAAUAAAUUAUUUAAUCAAGAUCCCCCAGUCAUAAGUUCUGUGUUUUGGAAUAUAACCUAUACAAAAAUAAAUUAAUUGGUACUAGAUAAUGCUCCGCUAUGCAUCUAUUUCAAUGUCUAUUCUUUGGAAGUUCUGUCAUCACACAUCCCCAAGUUUUAGAUAAGGUUUUUAGCUAACAGCCAGGAAAAGAUUCAAUAAACUUAAAAGAAAAAGUGUUUUUAAAUGUAAUAUUUUUUGUCUCUAAAGAAGUUUUUGUAUUGCAAAUGUUAAUCUCUUAAAAUAGAGGGGAACGAAGAAUGAAAAAAGAAAUAUUUUUAAGAUGUCCUUUUAAAACAUAGUCCCUCAAGCUAGUUGUUGUAGUUUUAGAAUAUAAAGAGCCCAGUAAAGAUGGUUUCAGUGAGAAGCUAUUAUUAAGAAAUGAGACUAGAAAGUUUUGGAGUCAAUAUCUGUAGCCUUUUGAUACUGAAAAUUCUGCAUAGUGGAUGGGAGUCAUGAGAAUUUUCCAGUCUUUAUUUUGGAAAUCUCUUACCUAUCCAACUAUAAUAACUGUCAUGUCAUUUAUAGUAUUAUCUUUUUGGAUUGUCCUGAGCAUUCAGUUCCAAAGUGAAGUCAAUGUAUCAUAGAACAUAUGGAAAAAUUCCAGAACUCAUGUUUAUAUUUAUUUUUAUCUAAACAAACAAUUUUUUACAGCAUUGGCUUUGAGGUGUGGAAUCUUAGCAGAAGUACAUUAAUUACUGGAUGCU
rnacentral:lncRNA from 10 species